UGUAUGCUGAAUUUCACAUCAUUUACUUGUGUUGCCUGGGAAGUAACACAAGGAUACUAAGACUUCAUUGUUUUACUAUGGACUUACUACUAUUAGUAGUAUAAUAUUUUCAUCAGGAUAUCUCUUAUUAAAGCCUGAUAAUUGAAAUAAUGCUCUUUUAAAAUUGAGUACAAAAGCUAAUUUGGGCUACCACAAUGUUUGAUAAGUUUUUACAGUAUUCUUAUUACUCAUUAAGUUAAAUUGGAAACUAACGGAUGUUGACUGUAUUUAAUUUUAUCCUUGCUGGACAGAUAAUGAUAACUUUAGUUUGAAUAAAUUUACUUUCUUGAAGUUCUCUAAGUUUACUUUAUUUCCAGCGUAGUAGUUCACCACUCCUAUAAAAUAAAUACAAUAUGUUGCAGUCUAAACUGGACUAAGAUUUGCAUUAUUUCCCUAAUUGAUGAAAAAAAAAAUGGGUCUCCAUUCCUAUGUAAAUUUUUAAUUGUAAAACAAUUUUAAAUGUACCCCAUUGAAAAUAGUUUGACUUUUUUGGUGGUAUUUUCUUUCUCAUAUUAGCUGAAUCAUAUUCUGUGCACAGUAUGUCCUACAUCCAUAGAAAUGACUGCUUCUAACUAUGGAAUCUUGAAGAGGGGAAGCAGGUGGUCACAAUGUCCUCAUAUGAGUGAAAAGUUCAGACUUCUGCAACUGCCAUUUGAGCAGCCACACUGUACUACUUCAAUGACUCAGUCUUGAGUUGGAUUGACGGAAGAGACCCUCUGCCAAUGGCCAAUUGUUGCUUCAUCUUAAUCCUAGAAAGGGGGAGCAUUCCAUAUAGAAACUGCUGAAACUGCCACAGGUGCUUCUCCGAAAACCUUACAGUUGUGGCAUUGAAUGUUCAGUAUCGCUUCCUUUCUGCACACAAGGCAUACUGUUGA